GGAACUUGGUGUUUUUGGUAAUGUGGUGGUGGCGGUAAGAUCAGUGGUAGCGGUGGUGGCGGUGGCUGCAAUGUGGCUGUGGUGGCGGCGCUGACGUAACCCAGUCGGGGCGAUGGAGGGAGGCGGUGGUCGGUGGCCGCGGACGAGCGACCGACUGACUGCAUGAGCUCCGUCGGCACCACCGCCGCUGCUGCCGCCGCCACCACCGCCGCUCUCCUCCGAUGCCGCCUCCCUACCCCUGCCCUCGUGCUCCUCCUCCACCGUUUGUACGUUUAUGAAUCACGGGUAUAUGGAGUAAGCCGGUGACAUGCCAUGAUCAUAUAUAUUCGUACACAGACACUAUUCCCACCGAACACCUCCGACUGGUUCUGACUGGUGGCGGCACUCGCUGGCUGGUGUGCGGCCUCUCUCAUGGUGCCUCCCGAUUCUCGACACAGCGCCUCAGACGAAGGUGCAGCCAGCAAGGGAGAGGCAGGGGACGCCUGAUCCCCCACACCCACCCAGCCGGCGGUGGCGGGGAGAGCGUGAGGAACAAGAGAAGGCAAAGGAGAGACAUGAAAAGUGAGAGGAUGUGGGGUGUGAGGGAGGGAGGGAGGACGGCCAGACGGGCGCCAGACUCGGCCGGUACAGCCUGUGGACUCCAUUUUAAAAGGUGAAUAAUUGUGCAGGUUUUUGGGCGUGUGAGGUGAGCUGCGGCAGGUGGUGGCGCCCCCCUGGUGGCCGCGGCCACACCACCGCCACCUUGUAGGUCACAGUGACACCACAGGCCCCCUCCCCCUUGGCCGUCUACACUCCCGCCUUCCUCGCCCCACCCCCCUGCCGGGCGUGGGUGAAGAGUGUGGUCGAGGUGCGACAGACGGACGCAUGGCGGCCAGGCACACCCCGCCACACCCCACUAGCACCACAGCCACAGCUUGACCACGGGGGGCGGAGCGCCCAGGCACCCCCCUCCCGCCAGCCACGCGGCCGACCCACCAUUGGCUCACACUGUUUUAAUUACAGAACCAGUUUGUGUGGCGGUCAUGUGAGGCGGUGGCGGGUGGCGGGGCGGGGCCAAGCCGGCCCUGUCGGAUCUUGGGGCCACCCCGGCAAGGGUUGGGGCGGAGCUUCAACUGUGAAAGACCGUCUGGCUCCGCCUCCUUUUCUGGCUCCGCCCCGGGUCCGCCCCUCGUGGAGGAGCGCGAGCAGACGCAGCGCCGCGUCCCCCGCCCGCCUCAGUUCCGCCGCGUCUGUCUGGUGAGCAGCAUGUUGCGCUUGACCUCCCGCGCCCUCACGCCCACACUUAGUGCUCCUCCCACGCCCACGCACGCCCACACCUACUCCAGCAAUAGUGUGUGAUCGCUGGCUCGAGUUUUUACCGGCCAAGUUUUGUGUAGUUAAGAGUGAGAGGCUACCAGUGACCCAGCAGAGUGGAUAGUGCUGAGUGGGCCAACAGGCCGCCGCCCGCCGGCGUGCAAGGCAACACCCGCCCUUCUCCGCCGCCUCCGUCGCUUAUACGUGUCGGUAGUGUCACCCUGAGUGCGCCCUCUUCUUGGUCUCCGUCGGUCGGUCGGAGUCGGUCCGACGUGACCGCUCAAGGCGCCGCUGGCGUCGGACCAUCGCGGCGCGGAGGCGCGGGCCCUAGACCGUGGAGAACACCGAACGGCCGUCAGCACCGCCGCCGAUGCAGGCUGAGCGGCGGGCCGUCGCUCAACUUGUGGCCGCGGUCAGCGCGACGGCCGUCAGCGGUGGCGAGGGUCUGUUGCAAGCCGUAGCGACGGGUCGGAGCGCGGCGGACGUCUGGUGGGGCGGCGGGUCGGAGCGAGAGCGAGAACAGAGUGGCGGUACCGCGGCCCGCGUUGCUCAGCCACGCAGGUUGGUGCUCGGCCGACCACCGCUGCACUCCGCGCUCGUCAUCCCGCCCGCCGCGGCACCAGCGCCAACCCGCGACACCCGCCCGCCGUCACCGCCGCCGCCGCCGCCGCUGCUGGGCUGACGACAUUCGGACCCUCCGGCAGACAUGGAGGGAUACCCCGCCCCCCUGUAGUGCUAGUGUAGUGAUGUGCCAGUGUUCGGUGAUAGUGUAACCCAGUGGUUGUGCCGCGCCGUUGGGACUCCACCGCUCAGGGUAAGCUGCCGCCCUUGUGUUCUUUUGUGAUACAUCCGAGACCUGCGGCUUCGGGCCGCGGACUUUGGAUUGUAGGGAGUGAUGGUGGGGAGUGGGGGGGGGGGCGAUGACCAUUCCAGACGAUCGCCAAUAACGGAGAACAGAAAAUGGGGUCGGGCAUAGGGUGUACAACCCUACACAGAAAAUGGGAUGUGGCGGCAAUACACACACACACACACACACACACACACACACACACACAUGCGCAAAAAAAAAAAGGGUCUCAAUUAUCAUUCGCAAGGAGGGUUGACCUCUUCCCUCCCCCGCCUCCCCUCCUGCCCUGCUUGGCCUGCUUGGGGGGGGAGGAGCUUGGUGGAGGAGGAGGCUGCCGCGCUGGACUUACCGCCCAUCCGCGAGGCGCGGGUCGACGAUGGAAGUGGCGGACCGACACUUCUAGUGCUCUGAGUUGCCGAACCGACAGUCUGGUGCGCGUGUGAUGUGCUGCGGUCACGUUGUGCAGUGACGCGACGCAAGCCUUGAGAGAUGUUCAAAAAACGAAGCCGGAACCACGCUACCCCUCCAUCCUGCCUGCCUGCCUUCCUCUGCCAGUGAAGAGAACCCUACACGAAGAGAGAGAGAGAGAGAGAGAGAGAGAGAGAGAGAGAGAGAUGGAACGUGCUACAAAAUCCAACUUUGAAGAUUAUGAGUACUCUGUGUGUGUGUGUGUGUGUGUGUGUGUGUGUGUGUGUGUGUGUGUGUGUGUGUGUGUGUGUACGAGGGUUCCAUCUACAUCAACAACAACAACAACAACAAAUGAUGAUGAUCGCUUUAAUGGGUGUGAAGGGCAGGACCGGGCGACCCAGGCAGUGCUGUGGAUGGCAAAGGUGCGUUUGUGUCUACCUGUGCGUGUUACCUGCUUGAGGGUAUCGAACGGGCAGCCUCGAGGACUCCAGACAAGACAAGAACUAGCUCUCCAGGAAGGGAUCUCAGACACGCCCUUAUUAAACUCAGCAGGACACGGGGCUGCCUUCCUCACCACUACUGUGUUAACAAGAUAAGCCUGAUUUGUUUACUAUUACUGCUAGAGAGAGAGAGAGAGAGAGAGAGAGAGAGAGAGAGUUGUAAUUGAAGGAAAAACGUAUUGUGAAGGAGAAAAAAGAUAGAAGGAAUUAUGAACGAAGAGGCCAGGAGACAGAUAGAGAAUUACAUAAGAGGAAAGACGAAAGAUAAGAGAAUAAAUGGAGAGGAAAAGGAAGGAUGUUAAGAUAGAUGUAGAAUGAAAGACAAAAAGAAGUGAUAAAAAAGAUAGGCAGACGAGAGAGAGUUAGAUAGAGAGAGAAUAGGAAGAAACAAAAAAAAGGUCAUGGUAAAAAAUGAUAGGCAUAAUAAUUAUAAUGAGAACGUCACUUGAGGUGCAGACAGAAGAGCGUUAGAUAGUGAGGAAUGUAGAUAGAAACACAGAAAAAGGUCGUGGUAAAAAAUAAACAAUUCAUAAUGAGAACGCCACUUUAUAACGGAACAGACUAAAGGUACUCGACUUGAUUAAAAGGUAAAAGCAAUUUAGUCUCCCAUGGCAAGGUAUAAUGAUAAAUAAGGUAAUAGAUAAAAAGUCACACAGAUCAAGCAUGGAAGUGUAAUGUAUAAAGUGAAGUAGCGAGAAAGAAGGAUGAUAAAUUAAAGUUACACAGACCUGACCGCUGUAAUAUAUUCCUUUUUAUUUUUUCUUUAAUUAUGAUAUGGAACCGUAAUUAGUGGGGAGGAUUUAAGGUCAAUUAAUAGUUAGUCAGGCAGCUGGUGGUGGAGUGAACACUAAUUUACGUACUAGUGUUUUUCUUUUUGUUUAGUUUUUUUCCCAUGAUGGUUUUCAGGGAUCGGGGUUGAUGUGUCAAAUAAUUUCGUGCUGGUUUUGUUGUCUUUCUUUUUUCGUUAAUGUUUUUGUGCAGGUUUGACUUGGCUUUGUUUUAUUAUUUUCUUUUUUUGAAGCGAAUAAAGCACAGGGGUUGUUACAUGAAUAGGUUGAUGACUAGGUAUGUGUAUAGCUAGUGGAUGGAUGGAUCGCUAGAUUAAUAGAAUGCCAGAUAGACUGAUGAAUAAUUGAAUAUAGGCUAAGAUGGUUAGAUUGAUAGACGGAGAAGUAAGUAUGAAUGAUAUAGACUCUACCAAUAUAGCAUAGGUCUAUCAGUAAGUAUAGUUCAUGGUAGACGUGCAUAGUGUAUCAUAGCUUAUAAAUACAUGAGAAGUGGUUGUGUGUGUGUGUGUGUGUGUGUGUCAUAGGUGUAUGUAGGUGUGAUGAUUUCAUAUUGCAUUUUUCCCUCAUUUAAUGUUAAGUUGAAAUAUCACACUUGUGCUUGACUCGUUGUAAUGAAUGUAAGUGGUGGAAACACGGUAUUUAUUUACACGUUUUUACUCAUUAGUUUACGCAGUUUUAUCACGCUAAUAUGUCUUGUUUGAUACUGUCCUCAAGAAAAAUUUAAUAAAGUGAGUUACUAUUAAGAAUACUGAGUUGUAAGAAAAAAAACUCAGAAUUGUUAGUCUAUUUAUUGUGUAGACAUUUUCUUUUGUAUCAUUUUUUUUUUUUUUUCUAUUUACCCAUUUAUUCAUUUUUCCCAGUCAUUUUGUUAUCAUCAAAGAUCUAAGACUUUUUUCGUUAUUGAUAUUUAUUUUAUAUAUAUGUCAUCAGAUAAUUCCUUAUCAUUAUUUAUUCAUGCCCAAUGUUACCACCACCACCACAAUAUACACGGUCUCCUUUUCCUCCCACACAGAGCAGCGCAGCCCAGCUCAGCAUAGCUACACAGUCCCGUCCUCCAUUCCCUGAGACCCUUUCUUGUGAAGGCACAGGUUCACAGGCAAGGCGCUCAGGCAUGGAUGACGGGUUAGUACGUCCAGACGCUCCCGUGGAUGACAACCAGAAAGAGACAGGCAUAAGUUGUCUGGAAAUUUUAGACCACCACCACCACCACGUCAGCCUGUCCCCAAGUCCACCAGUUCAUCAUGCAAUGUCAACCAGCCCGUCUCAUGUCAAGAAAUGCCUAUACUUAAAAAAAAUCAAAUGUUAAAUUGUAUGGUUUUUGUAUAAUUAUUGUUAUUAUUAUUGUUGUUUCUUCAUUAAUUUAUUUAUAAGAGUUGUGAAUUCAUUUACCAUUAGAAUUAUUUGGCUUGUAUUCUUAUGGAACAUAUCAGUAUAAUAAAGUAGUGUAAGAAGAGGAGUCACUAGAUGUAAAGGAUGUGCUAGAGUAGGGAAUGGAGAAUACUACUAAUAAUAAUGAUGGUAAUGGUGAGUAAACAAAUGAUGCAUUAGCACACUGUUAAGUAUUACAUUUGUUACCAGUCACGUCUUGCUGAUGUACUAGUUCAAGAUACUGAAUAGCGACCGAAAAUAAUCCUGUGUGUGUCAUUGUUGUGAAGCGAAGUAACAAGUAGAGUUUGCUCGUAACUGAUCGUUUACUCGUUUUUUUUUUUUUUUUUUUUUUUUUUUUUGCCAGCCUUGUAUAUAAAUUAUUUAAUUCAUUUUCUUCGUUUUGUCUUUUUAUAUUUUAUUUAUUUAUUUAUUUUUUCUCACGUAGUCAUACAAACAUCCGUUAUAAUACAGUUUGUUACAGGCUUCCUUCGAAUGAAAUACGGUUUUGCCUCUUAUUUUUCGAUAUAUGAUGAAAAAGUAACUUUAAUUGAUAAAUGCUAAUAAACAAGAGAGCGAUGGUGGGGGUGAGGGUGACAGGGGGUAGGGAGUAGUUAGAAGGUAGACAUAGUCGCCUAAAACGGAAAAUAAAGCCCACUAAAUGAUACAUCGCAGCGAGUAACUAACGGUAAUAUUCUCACUAAACCCAAUUUUUUUUUUUCUAUGCCAUUCAUUUAAAUAUUUCAUAUAAACUGAUUUGUAGAAGCAGUGUUGGUAUUGAGGGUGGUAGGAAGUGACGUAUACUUGCUUGUUGCUGGAACCCAAGAUGGCGGUAUAGGCAGGACGCGGGCACGGUAGGGGACCGGGACAGUCGCAUCUCGAUAGUAGUGACCUUGUUGAUCUUGUGCGUAGUGCUUGUGAAUCCUGAGAGACAAUGAACACCAGGGAAGACGAUGCACAGGUGACACGACCUCGCAUGCGCCGAGAUUUGGGCACCCAUGCACCGACCAACCUGCAAGGAAGGAUGGAGAGCAGAUUGGACAGACUGUGGUGUCAUAGCAAAGAGUAACAACUGCUACACCACAGAGGAACAUGCACACUACUUCAGCAAAAGCCAGUGGGAAGGAGUGUCUGGGAACGAUGAUAUGGAGCCUUGUCCAAGGAUGACACGACACAUAUUGGCAGUCAGCUGGAUGCUCUGUGACGAUUCUUUGAGGAGUCCUCCAGAACCGGCAGAUAUUGAUCCUGGUUCUAACACUGUUGGGUCUAGUCACUCAGGUCUUCUGGAAACUGCAGUCUGAAGGAACUUAAAUCUGCCAUGACCACCUCAAUGCAAGCUUUUGACGGCAAGGACAGAAGUCCUCAGACUCUGACUGACCAUUGGAAUAAACUGCAUCACAAGGCAGCAUCUCAGGUGCUGGCUUUUACUGUUUGGCAAUGCAACAAGCUAGAUAGCAAUACUCCAAGUGUGUGUUUCCUCCAAGUACUUAGUCUGAAAUACCCACAUGUGAUCAGCUUUAAAAUACUGGACUGAAAAAUAUUACUUUGUGAAAAUAUGAAUUUCAUAUAAAAUUAUUGGUUAAAUGUAACUGAGUGCAGUUAAUGUCACCAAUAGUGUUGUAGAUGUGAUUCCUCUCAUAAACUCUGUAUCAUAACUUGUCCACAUUAUGUAUUCUUUAUGUUCUCUCCAUGUCUGACCUAUUUUUUUAUCAUUCCCAGAGGAGACCACCAAGGCAGAGAUAAUUUAUUCCUAUCCUUAUUUUGCCUCCUUGUAUUCACUAAUACUCUUUUCUCCACUCUGCUGUUCUCCUGCACAUCUCAGCACUACCCUCUCACUUCUCCACUCUGCUGUUCUCCUGCACAUCUCAGCACUACCCUCUCACACCCCUGGAACCUGUCCUCUUCCACCCAUCAUUGUCAUUCUUCUUUAUGUUCUCUUCUUGCCAUUCUUUUUGUGUCUAACCCACCUUGGCAUGAUGCUGUGCUUAACCCACUCAAAAAUCCCAUAUUUCAUCCUUGUAUCUUUACUUUGCAAUUCACAGACACAGCUAUAAUUACUUUUACCAUCACAUAUACUAUUUUGUAUGUACUACAUGUGUGCUUAAGCUGUUUUUAGUUACCCUACUUAAUUAUGAAAUUAAUAAUUUUUACCUAGAAAAGGGAAGAUCAUUUAAAAAAGUUGAUUUGUUGAAGUAACAUCAUUUAAAUGGUCUAGAUGCAUAUCUGCAACCAUUUAAAUCUUAUUGUGCACUAUGAUUGUUGGCCAAAUGAGAUGAGUCUUUCCAAGCGUCAGUUACUCUUCUGGUGCCCCCAGAUGGAUAGGUCUUCUCUGACAAGUAGAGGUACUUAAUUUUUUAUGAUAUAUUCUUUGUUGUGGCAAGGAUACUAAUUUCCUUUGUGAAGGCUACUUGAUUAUCAAAGAAGCCUCAUUCCUGCCAGAUCUUAACUCCCUUUGUCCUACAGUGUGCAGCUGUUGUAUUCUUGAUAAUUUGUGAGGAUUUAGUGAGUUCAGGAUAACUGUACAACAAUUUCAUAUCCAACACCAGGCAUGGACUUAACCUUUGCAUUCCAGCAGAUGCGUGCAGGAUGUCUCACAGUGAUCACUGUGCUCCCAUCUCAGUACACUCAAUCCUCUGCCAUUGCAGCUCAUUGCUCAUGUUACUGAUAUGAAUCCUAAUUAUGCACUAGCAUACCCCUAGAUUCUUUUUUUUUUUUUAUUCAAACAUUUUGGCACUAACAGUAUAUGAUGAUGCCUAAUACCAUGACACUCUUGCAGCAGAUAGGUUCUAAUGAUAUGAAAUGAGAUGAGGAAAAUGUAGAUGAUAAAAGAUCAUGAAACAAUACCUGACGUAAUGUGUGCACUUAAGGCUUUCAGCUGAAGUAAUUUUAGCACCAAUAAAUUUGACUUAGUUUGCAGUCACUGCAAUAUCAGUGAAACACAUGAUGCAUUCUGCAGCAGCAGAUGGUUGAGUGUAAGCUUUAGGCUCAAAGUAACUCAAGUUCUGCCAGAAUUUGGGCCACUCUGCCACCUAAAUUACUGUUACUCGGGCCUAAGAAUAGUGAUGAUUGUGACACGUCAGGCAUGUAUCAACUACAAGGUAAGGGUUAAGAGGCAAUACCUUCCUCCACUGUUUUAACAUGCAGUCUUGAAAACAUUGACCAUUUAAAAAAAAAGUAAGCAAAAAAGCUUUAGACAUUUUCAAAGUUGAUCAAAUUGAGUAUUUCAGAUACAACCUAUUACAUCCUAAAUAUAUUCCCCAGCAGACUACUGCACAUCAACCCAGUGAGAGAAGCACAAGGCCACUGUCCUACCUCUAGGUGAGGCUGGUGCUCCGGGCCGGCUCUCCCUCGGCCAGCGGCAUCAGUUUCUCCUCAAUGGACGAGACCGGGGACGAGUUGCCGGAGCGGUUGUUCUCCAUGGAGCAGUCGCUGACUUCCUCAGAGGAGUCAUUGUAGUCAACGGAAGCAGCCCUCUUAUUAACAAAGGACUCUUCCAGCCUGAUGAAACAAAGGUCUCCCGUCAGUUUUACAGAGUGCAUGAGUGAUGAAAAAAACAUAUCCUUCAUUUUAAAGGGCACAGUUAUUUACUUUCAUUCAGAGGAAGAGAGAUUUUCUACAUUAAUAUAGUCUUUGAUCAGACCAACAGCCAAAGAAGGCUGGCAAAGAUGUCAGGUGGGUGCCCACCUCAGAUGUGUUGUUAUCUUUUUGCUGUUGGUCUAAUAAAAGAUUGAUAUACAAAACUCCCUCUUGUUACAACCCACACAAACCAAGAGCACAAGCCAGUCCUGUAUACAAUAAUCUUAUAAAAAAGAGUUUUCAAGUUGGUGUAUCAUCUUCAGAACAUUCUGUAGAGACAGUCCUGGCAUGGCAGAGGAAGUUUUAUGAGGAAGAUAAUCAUUAGACAUUACAAGACAAAAUGCAACUUACGGCACUCCCUUGACUCUCAUAGCACCUGUGAGAGCCAUCUGCUUCACAUGUUGCAUCAAUAACUGCAUCUGCUCUAAUGACACUCUCAGAACACCUGUGGAGAAGAAAUAUGGAAGUUACCUGUCUGUUGAGUGGAUCAUGAAAACAAUCUAGAAAGAUAAUGCCUGUGGAACAUAACAUUGAAAUAACUGGGAGAGGACAACAGCAGAGGACUCACUGUCUGUAAUAUCUCCAAGUCUUUUGGCGACCAUGUAGAGCACCUCAGGGCACCAGAAGUGGGGGAUGCGGGGGUACAACUUUCCAGUGUCUGAGGGCAGGUGGAAACCUAGCUCGGCCAGCAGCUGACGGAAGGUGGGUGAGGAGAACGCCUCCUCCUGCUCACUGGUCCAAGGAAUGAGUGGGAUGGACUGGUUGGACACUGGUGGAAUGGAAGUGUGUGUUACUAUUGUACAAAGGAAGCAUUUGUUGCUAUGUGUGUGAGAAUGGACCACAUGUUACAGUGUGAGGGAAGGAAGCAUUUGUUAUUACGUGUGCAUUUUUUCAUGCCUUUAGUCUCAGUACUGCCACACCUAUACAUCACUAAACAUUAAAACUCUUUUAAUUUGAAAAGCCACAAAGUAAUUCAUGUAAAGGCAUCACCAAAUUUUAGUUCUUAGUAAGACAUUGAAGUCGGUAAUGCUCAGCUAAGCAAGUUUUGGCUGAUCCUUACUGUUCCUAUCACUACACAGCAAUUAUGGAUAAAUAUUACUGAAAUGUUCCUUUUUCUAAUCCCACAAUGAAGAGUUACUUACAUGUAAAAUGGAAGGCAACAGGCUCUGGUCUGGGGAGGUCAGUGCCCAUGAACCUGAUCUUGGCAUAGCAGGCCUCAAGAAUCUGCUUCUGAAGCCACACAACCUGACUCCCAUGGCCUUCCUCUCUCAGCUUGUC